AGGAGAUGGAUUUUUGAGAAGUUAUUGAUCCAUGCUGUUAUCGGCCGUGUCACAAGACAAAUAAAACAGCUCAGGCGAGGUCUCAAAGAAACCCCAAUGUGGACAGUACUGACCCAACGACCUGACACAGUGGACAGGCUUCUCCCAAAAGAGGGAUCUGGGAAUAUAAACCCUGAGGUACUUCUUCAGCGAAUCACUUGGCCCCGUGAGGACGACGAAGACGCAGAUUAUUCAGUCGCCACGAUAUGCUGCAUUACAGGCUAUCUUCGACAGUUCAUUGCUCAUGCUACACCAACCGAAUUGACUGAUCUGGUCAAAUUUUGGACUGGAUGGGAGAUCCUUCCAAGGAGCCUCUCAGUCGAAGUAGUCACUGGCAGAUACCCCACAGCGUCCACCUGCUUUGAGGCCUUGCGGGUCCCAGGGCAUUACAAAGAUUAUACAUCUUUCAGAACUGAUGUUCUCGCCAGCAUUUCAUCGUGCCAAACAGGAUUUGGUCUGGUGUGACCAAAGACUUUCACAGAUUCUUGGGACGAACAGAGAAACUAGCUGCUGUUUCAUUUGGGUUGGAGCCAACACACAUCUAAUCAGGCUGAAGGAAUAUUGCAUUCUGACAAAAGAACACACACUCUUAAACACACACACACGGCACUCACAAACAAACACACACACACACACACAUACACACACAAAAACAAACACGUACACACAAACUCAUGCAAACACACAAACACACACACACACACACACACACUCUAGAUUUCUAGAUAUUAUUCGAUUUUGGAUGUUACAUUAUCCACCAGUUAUGCUUUUUUGAGUUUUGUUUUAACAUUUCAGAUAGUUACGUUUCACUGAGUGUUGAGCCCUAUGUUACUGUCAAACGGAUCAGU